rnacentral:rRNA from 1 species
UACACCCUUUGUGACAUACCUACAACUGUUGCUUCGGCGGGUAGGGUCCCCGUGACCCUCCCGGCCUCCCGCCCCCCCGGGCGGGUCGGCGCCCGCCGGAGGAUAACCAAACUCUGAUUUAACGACGUUUCUUCUGAGUGGUACAAGCAAAUAAUCAAAACUUUUAACAACGGAUCUCUUGGUUCUGGCAUCGAUGAAGAACGCAGCGAAAUGCGAUAAGUAAUGUGAAUUGCAGAAUUCAGUGAAUCAUCGAAUCUUUGAACGCACAUUGCGCCCGCCAGCAUUCUGGCGGGCAUGCCUGUUCGAGCGUCAUUUCAACCCUCAAGCCCUGCUUGGUGUUGGGGCCCUACAGCUGAUGUAGGCCCUCAAAGGUAGUGGCGGACCCUCCCGGAGCCUCCUUUGCGUAGUAACUUUACGUCUCGCACUGGGAUCCGGAGGGACUCUUGCCGUAAAACCCCCCAAUUUUCCAAAGGUUGACCUCGGAUCAGGUAGGAAUACCCGCUGAACUUAAGCAUAUCAAAARGSSGGGGGGAAA